CCAUAGUUAAUAUAAUGAGAGGGUUUGGAAGGCCGGAUCACAUGACAAAAUAACUUAUUGUUCUCGGUCACGUGGAACUUAUAGUGCAUGCUUCGAGGUGUUUACAUAUACGAUAGUAUAAUAGUUUAAGCCAAACAGAGCCUAAAAACAUUAAAUUUCAUUGAAUUUUCCGCGAUGCCGGGAGCGAAUUGCUCCAUAUCGGCUGUGGUACAUGUCGAAAUAGUGCUGGAGUUGGAAUUUUUCGGAUCCCUUCAGGAAAAGACGCAUUAUCAACGAAAACUCGUGAAGCGUGGAGCAACAUAAUUACAAAGGACCGCGUAGUGGAUGAAAAUUUGCGAAGGCAAAUAAAAAAAUGGGACGUUGCAUGUUUGCGAGAAGCACUUCAAGAAAGAGGAAUAUGAAAUGUACUUAUUUAGACAUUAUUCUUAAGACUUUAUAGUUUAAUAAUAAGACUUUACAGUGUAAGUCUCAGGCUUUUUACACUUUGUUUAUGCUGUCCCCGGAGCCCAUCGUUGUGUGGUACGAGAUUGGCUGAUUUUAUUGUUAAUUUUCUUCUGAUAAAUAGGAAUUUGCCAAUUAGUUAACUUAAGAAUGACAUGAGUGUUCUUACUGUGUAUGUAUCUAUUUAUUUUCUGAAAAUUUGUCAUUUAUCAAAAGUAGGUGGAGCAAAAAUUGCUGCAAUAGUGUUAUUAAUUCCACAGCCAAGCUAGAAGUGCAAUGUAAUUUGUAUUAUGCUCAAAUCAUACACUACACAAUGUAUGUUUAAUUAAGCCACAAUGCUCCUACUUUAUCGUUUUAACAUUUGUCUGAUGCCAUAUGAUUUUAACUCUUUAAGCUGCAAUGCUUAAUAUGCACUGCCCUUGAUGUGUAAAAUUGUCUGAUGAUAACACUGACAGAGUAAAAGAAUAAAAGAGCACAUUGAGAUAUGUUAGCCUAUUAUCUCCAAUUAGCUUAUUUAAACUGCAUGACUAAAUUUGGCUGAACAUUACAUAAUUGAGAGAAAGUAGUUUAAGCUGUGUGUAUAUAUUUAUAUAUUGUUGUUAUUACUAUGUGUUGAUGAAAAGAUUACACAUAAAAAUAUGAGGAUAAUUCAUUGAUACAGUAUCAUAUUUACAUUUAAUAUCAUUGAUAUAACGUUAUUGUAUUAUGUACCUGACUAUUUCUUUUCUUCACUGGCAAUCUUCAAGCAGAGACGGAUUUUCAUAUUUUCGUUCGGGGUGUGUGGAUAAAUAUCUGGGGGGGGGGGGUGCUGUUUGCUUUGAAAGGCCGGGGCCUGGUGGCAACACCCGGAAAGGCC